CUACGUAGGGGGCGAGCGUUAUCCGGAUUUAUUGGGUUUAAAGGGAGCGUAGGCGGGAGCUUAAGUCAGCGGUUAAAUGGUGCGGCUCAACCGUGCCCUGCCGUUGAAACUGGGUUUCUUGAGAGUGCAAGAGGCGGAUGGAAUUCAUGGUGUAGCGGUGAAAUGCUUAGAUAUCAUGAAGAACUCCGAUUGCGAAGGCAGUCCGCUGGGGCACGUCUGACGCUGAUGCUCGAAGGUGCGGGAAUCAAACAGGAUUAGAUACCCUGGUAGUCCGCACGGUAAACGAUGAUUACCCGCUGUCGGCGGCAGACAGUCGGCGGCCAAGCGAAAGCGAUAAGUAAUCCACCUGGGGAGUAUGCCGGCAACGGUGAAACUCAAAGGAAUUGACGGGG
rnacentral:rRNA from 1 species